GAAAGUAAGCAAGGGCGCAUGGCGGAUGCCUUGGCUCUCGGAGGCGAUGAAGGACGUGAUAAGCUGCGAUAAGCUUCGGGCAGGUGCAAAUAACCUUUGAUCCGAAGAUUUCCGAAUGGGACAACCCGUCAUUCUGAAGGAAUGACAUCUUGCAUAGCAAGAGGCUAACGCAGGGAACUGAAACAUCUUAGUACCUGUAGGAAAAGAAAAUAAUAAUGAUUCCCCUAGUAGUGGCGAGCGAACGGGGAUUAGCCCAAACCAAUGUUGUUACGGCAAUAUUGGGGUUGUAGGACCACGAUGUCGCAAGAAAUUUAGUGAGAAGAACCCUUUGGAAAAUGGGACCAUAGACGGUGAUAGUCCGGUAUUCGAAGCUAAAUGAAGCGUAGUGGUAUCCUGAGUAGCGCGGGACACGAGGAAUCUUGCGUGAAUCUGCCGGGACCAUCCGGUAAGGCUAAAUACUCCCGAGAGACCGAUAGCGAACCAGUACUGUGAAGGAAAGGUGAAAAGCACUUCGAAUAGAAGAGUGAAAUAGUCCCUGAAACCGUGCGCCUACAAGCGGUCGGAGCUGCUUCAGCAGUGACGGCGUGCCUUUUGCAUAAUGAACCUACGAGUUACUUUUUCCGGCAAGGUUAAGGAUCUUGAGAUCCGCAGCCGAAGCGAAAGCGAGUCUUAAUAGGGCGAUUAGUCGGAAGGAGUAGACGCGAAACCAAGUGAUCUACCCUUGGUCAGGUUGAAGGUUAGGUAACACUAACUGGAGGACCGAACCGAUAAGCGUUGAAAAGCUUCCGGAUGAACUGAGGGUGGGGGUGAAAGGCUAAUCAAACUUGGAGAUAGCUCGUACUCCCCGAAAUGCAUUUAGGUGCAGCCUUGGGAAUUACUACUGUGAGGUAGAGCGACUGAUAAGAUGCGAGGGCUUCACCGCCUAUCAAGUCUUGAUAAACUCCGAAUGCGCAGUAGUUCGAUCCCAGGAGUGAGGGCAUGGGUGCUAAGGUCCAUGUCCUAAAGGAGAAGAAUCCAGACCAUCAGCUAAGGUCCCGAAAUAAUUGCUAAGUUGAACUAACGAAGUCAGAUUGCUAAGACAGCUAGGAUGUUGGCUUGGAAGCAGCCAUUCAUUUAAAGAGUGCGUAACAGCUCACUAGUCGAGGAGUUUGGCGUGGAUAAUAAUCGGGCAUUAAGCAAUUUACCGAAGCUAUGGGAUCCGUAAUGAUCGGUAGGGGAGCAUUCCACUCUGCGUCGAAGGUGAAGCGUGAGCUUUGCUGGAGCGUGUGGAAAAGCAAAUGUAGGUAUAAGUAACGAUAAAGGGGGUGAGAAACCCCCUCGCCGAAAGACUAAGGUUUCCUGAUCAACGCUAAUCGGAUCAGGGUUAGUCGGGUCCUAAGGCUCAGCCGAACGGUGAGGCCGAUGGCAGAACAGGUUAAUAUUCCUGUACUACCUUAAGGAGUGACGUGGAGACGGAGGAGUGACAGCGCCGCGGACUGACGGAAUAGUCCGUUGAAGGGUGUAGAUGUUGAUUAUCCCAGGCAAAUCCGGGAUAAGAGUCGAACCUGAUAGUAUACCAAAUUCUUCGGAAUAAGGUAAUAGUGCGUGUAAGCAUACUCCCAAGAAAAUCCGCUAAACUUAAUCUUUAAGGUACCCGUACCGCAAACGGACACACGUAGUCGGGUUGAAUAUACUAAGGCGCUUGAGUGAUUCACGGUUAAGGAACUAGGCAAAUUGACCCUGUAACUUCGGGAUAAAGGGUCCCAACGAGAGUUGGGCGCAGAGAAUAGGUCCAGGCAACUGUUUAACAAAAACACAGGGCUGUGCCAAAUUGAAAGAUUACGUAUACAGCCUGACACCUGCCCGGUGCUGGAAGGUUAAGAGGAGAUGUCAUCGCAAGAGAAGCAUUGAAUUGAAGCCCCAGUAAACGGCGGCCGUAACUAUAACGGUCCUAAGGUAGCGAAAUUCCUUGUC
rnacentral:rRNA from 1 species